rnacentral:rRNA from 1 species
UACGGAGGGGGUUAGCGUUGUUCGGAAUUACUGGGCGUAAAGCGCGCGUAGGCGGAUUAGCAAGUUAGGGGUGAAAUCCCAGGGCUCAACCCUGGAACUGCCUCUAAAACUCCUAGUCUUGAGGUCGAGAGAGGUGAGUGGAAUUCCGAGUGUAGAGGUGAAAUUCGUAGAUAUUCGGAGGAACACCAGUGGCGAAGGCGGCUCACUGGCUCGAUACUGACGCUGAGGUGCGAAAGCGUGGGGAGCAAACAGG